UCAUUUUAUGUUCCUUAGUCCACGUUUACCAUUCUGCUGAUUUCCUAUUUUCUUCCUUGGUUUCACAGCCUUGGCACAUUGCUCGCUCGGUCCCUCUGACCUGUCGAGGUCACCGGCCGACCGUAGCCUGGGGCAGGGCCCAGGAAUGUAGCUGCGCCGUCGCGACCGCAGGGUCAGAAAAGUAGUAACUGGAAACUGUGAUAUUUGACUCGUUAAUGUGUAUGUUAUGCCCAAUAAUGUGCUCAGGAUUGUAAAAUGUAUUGUUUGAUGCGAGUAGGGAUCUCCUGGACAUUUAAGUUGCGAAUAUGAUAGCUGACGCGGAUGAACAUUUCUGAAUAUGGGCGGUGCCCGGCGCCCCGGCGCUGGUCGGGGGCGCGGCGCGGGUCAGUUGAGCCCCGUUGAGGCUGGUGGUAUGUGGUGGUGUCUGCGCCAGAGCCGCCAUUUACCAAGACCGUGAGGCUGGUCGUCUAAUGUGCCUCUGGAGACGUGUGCCUCUGGUUUCGUUAGCCGAUAAGCGACUCAGGGAGCACAUUUGUCGCAACGAUUGCGUGCGGAGGGCCACACGGUCCAAUACACCGAUCCGUGACG
rnacentral:lncRNA from 1 species